UACGUAGGGGGCAAGCGUUGUCCGGAAUCAUUGGGCGUAAAGCGCGUGUAGGCGGCUUGGUAGGUCCGCUCUGAAAGCCCGGGGCUCAACCCCGGGAGGCGGGUGGAUACUGUCAAGCUCGAGUCCGGAAGAGGCGAGUGGAAUUCCUGGUGUAGCGGUGAAAUGCGCAGAUAUCAGGAGGAGCACCAAUGGCGAAGGCAGCUCGCUGGGACGUGACUGACGCUGAGACGCGAAAGCGUGGGGAGCAAACAGG
rnacentral:rRNA from 1 species